rnacentral:lncRNA from 1 species
UUCUAUGCAAACCGUACACCUAUCUUUCAUCAAGAUUAGCACUAUCUCCAAACAGACCGAACCGGGCUUUCACUUGAGCCUCUUCACCUAGGAGUACCAUCGGGAACUUCCACAACGAUUUCUGAGCCUAUGGUGCACUGGGCACAAACCAUGCAACUAUCUUGCACCGAUACUAAUACUAUCUCCAACGGGACGGAAACGAGAUUCCAUAUGAUAAACUUCAUCUAGUAGUUCCAUCGGGUGCAUCUACAGUUCCGUCGAGUGUGUCCAAAUUGAUUUCUGAGCAUAUGGUAUGUUCCUUGCAAAUCGUGCACCUAUCUUGCAUAAAGAUUGGAACUAUCUUCAAACAGAUAGAACCAAGGUUCCACAUGAGCCUCUUCACCAAGGAGUACCAUCGCGUGCGUCCAAAAUAGUUUUUUAGCCUAUGGUGCAUUUGGCACAAACCGUGUACCUAUCUUGCACCGAAACUAACACUAUCUCCAAAGAGACCAAAGUGAGAUUCUAUAUGACACACAUCAUCUAGGAGUUCUAUUGGGUGCUUCCAAAUAUAUUUUUAAGCAUAUGGUAUGUUCGAUGUAAUUCGUGCACCUGUCUUGCAUCAAGAUUAGCACUAUCUCCAAACAAAGCAAACUGAGCUUCCACUUGAGCCCCUUUACCCAGGAGUAUCAUCGGGUGCAUCCAAAAUGGUUUCUUAGCCUAUGAUGCAUUAGGCGCAAACUGUGUACCUAUCUUGCACCAAAACUAACUCUGUCUCCAAAUAGACCAAAGCGAAAUUCCAUAUGACACAUGUCAUUUGGAGUUCUAUUGCGAUGCAUCCAAAUAGAUUUCUUUGCAUAUGGUAUGUACCACGAAAACCGUGCACCUAUCUUGCAUCAAGAUUAGCACUAUCUCCAAACAGAUCGAACCGACCUUCCACUUGAGCCUCUUCACCUAGGAGUACUAUCGGGUGCUUCCAUAAUGGUUUCCGAGCCUAUGGUGCAUUAUGCGCAAACCAUGCACCAAUCUUGCACCUAAACUGUCUCCAAACAGAUUGAAGCGAGAUUCCAUAUGACACACAUGAUCUAGGAGUUCUAUCGGGUGCGUCCAAAUUGAUUUCUGAGAAUACGGUAUGAUCCAUGCAAACCGUACACCUAUCUUUCAUCAAGAUUAGCACUAUCUCCAAACAGAGCGAACCGAGCUUUCACUUGAUUCUCUUCACCUAGGAGUACCAUCGGGAACUUCCACAACGAUUUCUGAGCCUAUGGUGCACUGGGCACAAACCAUGCAACUAUCUUGCACCGAAACUAAUACUGUCUCCAACUAGACUCAAGUGAGAUUCCGUAUGAUACACUUCAUCUAGUAGUUCCAUCAGGUGCAUCUACAGUUCCAUCGGGUGUGUCCAAAUUGAUUUCUGAGCAUAUGAUAUGUUCCAUGCAAACCGUGCACCUAUCUUCCAUCAAGAUUAGAACUAUCUCCAAACAGACAGAACCAAGAUUCCACAUGAGCCUCUUCACCAAGGAGCACCAUCGCGUGCGUCAAAAAUAGUUUCUUAGCCUAUAGUGCAUGAGGCACAAACCGUGUACCUAUCUUGCACCGAAACUAACACUAUCUCCAAAGAGACCGAAGUGAGAUUCGAUAUGACACAUGUCAUCUAGGAGUUCUAUUGGGUGCUUCCAAAUAUAUUUUUAAGCAUAUGGUACGUUCGAUGUAAUUCCUGCACCUAUCUUGCAUCAAGAUUAGCACUAUCUCCAAACAAAGCAAACUGAGCUUUAACUUGAGCCCCUUUACCCAGGAGUAUCAUCGGGUGCAUCCAAAAUGGUUUCUUAGCCUAUGAUGCAUUAGGCGCAAAGUUUCUACCUAUCUUGCACCAAAACUACCUCUGUCUCCAAAUAGACCAAAGCAAGAUUCCAUAUGACACAUGUCAUCUAGGAGUUCUAUUGGGUGCGUCCAAAUGGAUUUCUUAGCAUAUGGUAUGUUCCAUGCAAACCGUGCACCUAUCUUGCACCAAGAUUAGCACUAUCUCCAAACAGAUCGAACCGACCUUCUACUUGAGCCUCUUCACCUAGGAGUACUAUCGGGUGCUUCCAUAAUGGUUUCCGAGCCUAUGGUGCAUUAUGCGCAAACCAUGCACCAAUCUUGCACCUAAACUGUCUCCAAACAGAUUGAAGCGAGAUUCCAUAUGACACACAUGAUCUAGGAGUUAUAUCGGGUGCGUCCAAAUUGAUUUCUGAGAAUACCGUACGUUCCAUGCAAACCGUACACCUAUCUUUCAUCAAGAUUAGCACUUUCUCCAAACGAACCGAACCAAGCUUUCACUUGAGCCUCUUCUCCUAGGAGUACCAUCGGGAACUUCCACAACGAUUUCUGAGCCUAUGGUGCACUGGGCACAAACCAUGCAACUAUCUUGCACCGAAACUAAUACUAUCUCCAACUAGACUGAAGUGAGAUUCCAUAUGAUACAGUUCAUCUAGUAGUUCCAUCGGUUGCAUCUACAGUUCCAUCGGGUGUGUCCAAAUUGAUAUCUGAGCAUAUGGUAUGUUCCAUGCAAACCGUGCACCUAUCUUGCAUCAAGAUUAGAACUAUCUCCAAACAGACAGAACCAAGAUUCCACAUGAGCCUCUUCACCAAGGAGUACCAUCGCGUGUGUCCAAAAUAGUUUCUUAGCCUAUGGUGCAUUAGGCACAAACCGUGUACCUAUCUUGUACCAAAACUAACACUAUCUCGAAAGAGACUGAAGUGAGAUUCUAUAUGACACACGUCAUCUAGGAGUUCUAUUGGGUGCUUCCAAAUAUAUUUCUAAGCAUAUGGUACGUUUGAUGCAAUUCGUGUACCUAUCUUGCAUCUAGAUUAGCACUAUCUCCAAACAAAGCAAACUGAGCUCCACUUGAGCCCCUUUACCUAGGAGUAUCAUCGGGUGCAUCCAAAAUGGUUUCUUAGCCUAUGACGCAUUAGGCGCAAACUGUGUACCUAUCUUGCACCAAAACUACCUCUAUCUCCAAACAGACCUAAGCGAGAUUCUAUAUGACACAUGUCAUCUAGGAGUUCUAUUGGGUGCGUCCAAAUGGAGUUUUUAGCAUAUGGUAUGUUCCAUGCAAACCGUGCACCUAUCUUGCAUCAAGAUUAGCACUAUCUCCAAACAGAUCGAACCGACCUUCCACUUGAGCCUCAUCACCAAGGAUUAUCAUCGGGUGCUUCCAUAAUGGUUUCUAAGCCUAUGGUGCAUUAUGCGCAAACGAUGCACCAAUCUUCCACCUAAACUAACAAUGUCUCCAAACAGAUUGAAGCGAGAUUCCAAAUGACACACAUGAUCUAGGAGUUCUAUCGGGUGCGUCCAAAUUGAUUUAUGAGAAUAUGGUACGUUCUAUACAAACCGUACACCUAUCUUUCAUCAAGAUUAGCACUAUCUCCAAACAGACCGAACCGGGCUUUCACUUGAGCCUCUUCACCUAGGAGUACCAUCGGGAACUUCCACAAUGUUUUCUGAGCCUAUGGUGCCCUGGGCACAAACUAUGCAACUAUCUUGCACCGAAACUAAUACUAUCUCCAACUGGACGGAAGCGAGAUUCCAUAUGAUAAACUUCAUCUAGUAGUUCCAUCGGGUGCAUCUACAGUUCCGUCGAGUGUGUCCAAAUUGAUUUCUGAGCAUAUGGUAUGUUCCAUGCAAAUCGUGCACCUAUCUUGCAUAAAGAUUGGAACUAUCUUCAAACAGAUAGAACCAAGCUUCCACAUGAGCCUCUUCACCAAGGAGUACCAUCGCGUGCGUCCAAAAUAGUUUUUUAGCCUAUGGAGCAUUUGGCACAAACCGUGUACCUAUCUUGCACCGAAACUAACACUAUCUCCAAAGAGACCAAAGUGAGAUUCUAUAUGACACACAUCAUCUAGGAGUUCUAUUGGGUGCUUCCAAAUAUAUUUUUAAGCAUAUGGUAUGUUCGAUGUAAUUCGUGCACCUAUCUUGCAUCAAGAUUAGCACUAUCUCCAAACAAAGCAAACUGAGCUUCCACUUGAGCCCCUUUACCCAGGAGUAUCAUCGGGUGCAUCCAAAAUGGUUUCUUAGCCUAUGAUGCAUUAGGCGCAAACUGUGUACCUAUCUUGCACCAAAACUAACUCUGUCUCCAAAUAGACCAAAGCGAAAUUCCAUAUGACACAUGUCAUUUGGAGUUCUAUUGCGAUGCAUCCAAAUAGAUUUCUUUGCAUAUGGUAUGUACCACGAAAACCGUGCACCUAUCUUGCAUCAAGAUUAGCACUAUCUCCAAACAGAUCGAACCGACCUUCCACUUGAGCCUCUUCACCUAGGAGUACUAUCGGGUGCUUCCAUAAUGGUUUCCGAGCCUAUGGUGCAUUAUGCGCAAAUCAUGCACCAAUCUUGCACCUAAACUGUCUCCAAACAGAUUGAAGCGAGAUUCCAUAUGACAAACAUGAUCUAGGAGUUCUAUCGGGUGCGUCCAAAUUGAUUUCUGAGAAUACGGUACGUUCCAUGCAAACCGUACACCUAUCUUUCAUCAAGAUUAGCACUAUCUCCAAACAGACCGAACCGAGCUUUCACUGAGCCUUCUUCACCUAGGAGUACCAUCGGGAACUUCCACAACGAUUUCUGAGCCUAUGGUGCACUGGGCACAAACCAUGCAACUAUCUUGCACCGAAACUAAUACUGUCUCCAACUAGACUCAAGCGAGAUUCCGUAUGAUACACUUCAUCUAGUAGUUCCAUCAGGUGCAUCUACAGUUCCAUCGGGUGUGUCCAAAUUGAUUUCUGAGCAUAUGAUAUGUUCCAUGCAAACCGUGCACCUAUCUUCCAUCAAGAUUAGAACUAUCUCCAAACAGACAGAACCAAGAUUCCACAUGAGCCUCUUCACCAAGGAGCACCAUCGCGUGCGUCAAAAAUAGUUUCUUAGCCUAUGGUGCAUUAGGCACAAACCGUGUACCUAUCUUGCACCGAAACUAACACUAUCUCCAAAGAGACCAAAGUGAGAUUCUAUAUGACACACAUCAUCUAGGAGUUCUAUUGGGUGCUUCCAAAUAUAUUUUUAAGCAUAUGGUACGUUCGAUGUAAUUCCUGCACCUAUCUUGCAUCAAGAUUAGCACUAUCUCCAAACAAAGCAAACUGAGCUUCCAAUUGAGCCCCUUUACCCAAGAGUAUCAUCGUGUGCAUCCAAAAUGGUUUCUUAGCCUAUGAUGCAUUAGGCGCAAACUUUGUACCUAUCUUGCACCAAAACUAAUUCUGUCUCCAAAUAGACCAAAGCAAGAUUCCAUAUGACACAUGUCAUCUAGGAGUUCUACUGCGAUGCAUCCAAAUAGAUUUCUUAGCAUAUGGUAUGUUCCAUGAAAACCGUGCACCUAUCUUGCAUCAAGAUUAGCACUAUCUCCAAAGAGAUCGAACCGACCUUCCACUUGAGCCUCUUCACCUAGGAGUACUAUCGGGUGCUUCCAUAAUGGUUUGCGAGCCUAUGGUGCAUUAUGCGCAAACCAUGCACCAAUCUUGCACCUAAACUGUCUCCAAACAGAUUGAAGCGAGAUUCCAUAUUACACACAUGAUCUAGGAGAUCUAUCGGGUGCGUCCAAAUUGAUUUCUGAGAAUACGGUACAUUCCAUGCAAACCGUACACCUAUCUUCCAUCAAGAUUAGCACUAUCUCCAAACAGACUGAACCGAGCUUUCACUUGAGCCUCUUCACCUAGGAGUACCAUCGGGAACUUCCACAACGAUUUCUGAGCCUAUGGUGCACUGGGCACAAACCAUGCAACUAUCUUGCACCGAAACUAAUACUAUCUCCAACUGGACUGAAGCGAGAUUCCAUAUGAUACACUUCAUCUAGUAGUUCCAUCGGGUGCAUCUACGGUUUCAUCGGGUGUGUCCAAAUUGAUUUCUGAGCAUAUGGUAUGUUCCAUGCAAACCGUGCACCUAUCUUGCAUCAAGAUUAGAACUAUCUCCAAACAGACAGAACCAAGAUUCCACAUGAGCCUCUUCACCAAGGAGUACCAUCGCGUGCAUCCAAAAUAGUUUCUUAGCCUAUAGUGCAUGAGGCACAAACCGUGUACCUAUCUUGCACCGAAACUAACACUAUCUCGAAAGAGACCGAAGUGAGAUUCGAUAUGACACAUGUCAUCUAGGAGUUCUAUUGGGUGCUUCCAAAUAUAUUUCUAAGCAUAUGGUACGUUCGAUGCAAUUCGUGCACCAAUCUUGCAUCUAGAAUAGCACUAUCUCCAAACAAAGCAAACUGAGCUUUAACUUGAGCCCCUUUACCCAGGAGUAUCAUCGGGUGCAUCCAAAAUGGUUUCUUAGCCUAUGAUGCAUUAGGCGCAAACUGUGUACCUAUCUUGCACCAAAACUACCUCUGUCUCCAAACAGACCUAAGCGAGAUUCUGUAUGACACAUGUCAUCUAGGAGUUCUAUUGGGUGCGUCCAAAUGGAUCUUAGCAUAUGGUAUGUUCCAUGCAAACCGUGCACCUAUCUUGCAUCAAGAUUAGCACUAUCUCCACACAGAUCGAACUGACCUUCCACUUGAGCCUCUUCACCUAGGAUUAUCAUCGGGUGCUUCCAUAAUGGUUUCUGAGCCUAUGGUGCAUUAUGCGCAAACGAUGCACCAAUCUUCCACCUAAACUAACAAUGUCUCCAAACAGAUUGAAGCGAGAUUCCAAAUGACACACAUGAUCUAGGAGUUCUACCGAGUGCGUCCAAAUUGAUUUAUGAGAAUAUGGUACGUUCUAUGCAAACCGUACACCUAUCUUUCAUCAAGAUUAGCACUAUCUCCAAACAACCGAACCGGGCUUUCACUUGAGCCUCUUCACCUAGGAGUACCAUCAGGAACUUCCACAACGAUUUCUGAGCCUAUGGUGCACUGGGCACAAACCGUGCAACUAUCUUGCACCGAAACUAAUACUAUCUCCAACUGGACGGAAGCGAGAUUCCAUAUGAUAAACUUCAUCUAGUAGUUCCAUCGGGUGCAUCUACAGUUCCAUCGGGUGUGUCCAAAUUGAUUUCUGAGCAUAUGGUAUGUUCCAUGCAAACCGUGCACCCAUCUUGCAUCAAGAUUGGAACUAUCUUCAAACAGACAGAACCAAGGUUCCACAUGAGCCUCUUCACCAAGGAGUAUC